UUUUGAUUAUAAUUUAAAGUCUAACCUGCCCUAUGAUUUAUUAUUAAAUGGCCGCGAUAUUUUGAUCGUGCAAAGGUAGCAUAAUAAUUAGUUUUUUAAUUGAGAACUGGUAUGAAUGGUUGAACGAGAAAAAAGCUGUCUCAAUUUAAUUUAAAUUAGAAUUUUAUUUUUAAGUUAAAAAGCUUAAAUAUUUUUAAAAGACGAGAAGACCCUAUAGAGUUUUAUAUAAAUUAUUAUUUUAAAAAAUUUUAGAAUUUUAAAUUUAAUUAUAAUAAUUUAUAUUUAAUUGGGGUGAUUAAAAAAUUUAAAGAACUUUUUUUAAAUUUAAACAUAAAUUUAUGAAUAAAUGAUCC
rnacentral:rRNA from 1 species